GAACGAAACCCUAGCCCCCUUUUUGUCCUUGUGGGUCAUUUUUAGCAUUUUGAAGGUGGUUUGGAGCUUGGGAGAAGAAGGANNNNNNNNNNNNNNNNNNNNNNNNNNNNNNNNNNNNNNNNNNNNNNNNNNNNNNNNNNNNNNNNNNNNNNNNNNNNNNNNNNNNNNNNNNNNNNNNNNNNUGCGCGGAAUUAACUGUGUAACGUAGUCCCGAAACCCCCAAACCCACGUAUGGGGUGUUCUGGUAAGGAUUGAAAGCGAGCAUGGGAUCUGCUCGAGGAACUCGGCGAGUUGGGACUCGAUUCGGCCCCAUAGUCCCGGGUAGCGAGUCAAGGGUGACUCAGUGAGUGGGGAGAGGGACCGGGUGAGUGGGACCGGAUCAGUGAGGGAUGGACUCGGCGAGUUGCUCGCGGACUCGGCGAGUCCAGUCAACUGGAAGUUGACUUUGACCUGGACUUGACUUGGUAAGGAGUAAAAAGGGUCAUUUUACCCUAAGAACAUCUAGCGGUGUUUGACUGAUCGUUUUGUGGGAAUUAUAGCCGAGGUACGUCCGGAGCAGCAGCAACAGCAGUAGACAGUCAAUUCCCACAUAGACCAGCAGCCUUUUCAAGGUGAGUUGCCUUCCAAUAGCAAUGGGUCUACGGCCACAAUGUCGGCCCACCAGUAGGAGUUGUAUGUAGAUGUUUGUCUCUGUGAUAUUCAUCUAGGGGUUACUACUACCUGUGCUAUGUUUAUGUGCUAAUAUGAUAUGAUGCUAUGUGUUAGUAGUGGUCGGGGAGAUAGUCCCCAAGAUAUCCGGUCGAUAGGGCCGAAGGGGUAGUUAUACCCAGUCAUGCUAGUUGGAUUCUGAUAUUGUGAUAUGUGCAAUGUGGUAGUAGUAGAGGGGGAGAGAUAGUCUCCAGUAUCCGGUUGAGAGGACCGAGGGGGGGGCCAGCACCCAUAUAUGCUAGGCAGUAUCCGGUCGAGAGGACCGAAGGGGAGGCCAGCACCCAGAUAUGCUUGGCAAUACCCGGUCUAGAGGACCGAAGGGGUAGGUCAGGCACCCAGAUAUGCCUGACAAUAUAUAUGUGUGUUAUGUGAUUAUUAUGGUAUGUGGUACGGUGGGGGAACUCACUAAGCUUCGUGCUUAUGGUUUUCAGUUUUGGUUUCAGGUACCUCCUCAGCUAGGGAAAAGGAGUCAGCGCGGUAGCAGCAUGUCACACACACACACACUCUCUUGUUUCCGCAGUUACGAGUUUAUUCUGGGAUUUAUACUCUGAUAUUUGAUUGAUCGAAUGUUGUGGUUUUCAAUUUGGUUUUCGAUGUGAAAUGGUUUAAUCAAACAAUGUUUUAACUAUUAAUGCUUUUGUGUAAUGUUUUAUAACGAAAUUUUUGGACGUAAAAAUUGGGUCGUUACAAGUUGGUAUCAGAGCCCUGGUUUGAGGGAUUCGGACACGCCUUCGGGGGUGUCUGAACUCAAAUCGAGGGAUUAAAAGAUUUUAUAAAAGAAAAUGUUUUCUAAAAAUUGAGAAAAGAGUUUUGAGAAAGAACGAAGUGUGUGAUGUGCGCGACCGGCCGAGCUCAAGUAAGUAUUCCCCAAAGUACCCAUACAAGUUUAUGUUAUGUUUAUCAGCUUUCGUAGAACAACAUGCUAGAAUAGGACUAAGGAUCUAGGAGUGAUGCCUUAUGUGCCUGCUUUAUGUGUUUCAGCUGUAUGAGAAUUGCAUUCUAGUAUUGAGUAGACAGCAAGUAGGAUAGUCUGAUUAGGUUAUGCCUGAUGGUAUGAGCUUAGCAUUGCAUGCUAGUAAAGUUCCUGUAAGCCGAUAGAGUUGAAUGAGAUUGUUCGCUUGGUUCGAAUGCUACUUUCUUUGUGCUUUGUGGGACUCUGAGUGGUGGGAGUUAGCCAUUAGGUGAAUACGUCACGUCACAUAUGAUCAGGGCUGAAUAAUCUUAGAGUGUUGGAUUUGGCCCUAUUGCGCAACUCUCGUUUGAGUCUAACCAUUGUAGGGGUGAGCCUGUUACUCGAAGGAUUAUCCGAGCCUCACCACAUGUGAUGGUGUUCAGGUAAUGGUUAAUUGGAACUACUAAGAGGCCUUCAGCAGCUGAGGACCUGGUAGGGUGGAGUCUGAGAUUUUCCUAGGGCAAGCCUAUGAUGAGUAUAGUAGUGAUCAGCCGUAGUGGAAGGGAUCUGGUGGAGUCGAGGCAGUCCUUGAAGAAGGUACGGAUAGAUGUGGAAGGUAGUAUGGGCCCGUACUACUGAAAGCAGAGGAUCCGUACCCGAACCAAGGAAGGCCAAGAUAAGACCAGGGAACUUGUAAGUAGUUAUGAUCCCUCAGGAAGUAUCAGUAUCACUAAUAUGUGUUAUUAUGUACUGCAGAAUGGUGAUACUUCGAUCGAGGCCGAUAGAUGGCGGUUCAGGAGAGGGGCCAGGUUCGGGAUCAGGUUCCGAGCAGGUAGAUGAGGGACUACGCGAGUUCAUCGCGUCAGAAAUCACCAGGGGUAUCCUCGAGUCGACUCCCAUCAUCUUCGGGUCGAUCAAGGAAGGGAUCAUCGAGUUGAUGGAGGAUCGCCUCAGGGCGUUCAGGAGCGACAUGGCAUCUGGCCAGUCGGGUCCUCGCACACUGUCCUUUAAGGACUUCAGGGGCAGUGGUGCGCCAGAUUUCCACGGGGUGAAAGACCCCAUUACUUCCAGGCGAUGGAUUGUUGACAUCGAGUCUGCACAGUUGACUAGCUUCUGCCCCGAGGGGUCGAAGGUGAGGUAUGCAGCAGGGUGUUUACGGGACCGAGCCCGGGAUUGGUGGGAGUCAGUGGGUGACUCGUUGGGAGCCUCAGCUAUCAAGGCUAUGACCUGGUCGGACUUUGUGACCAGGUUCAGGGCAGAGUUUGCGCCGGCUGUCGAGCUUCAGCAGCUAGCAAGGGAGUUUCUAGACAUGAGACAGAUGACAGAGACUGUGGCGAAGAUCACCGCCAAGUUCCGGGAGAGGGCCUUGUUGGUGCCCUAAUAUGCUGAUGACGAGGAUAUGAGGAGGACCCGUUAUCAUGAUAUGCUACGAGCCGACAUCCGGGAGCAUGUUAGCUUUUCGGCUUGCCCUACCCUGGACUCUAUGAUUGCCAGGGCGAGGGAGAGGGAGAUAGAUUUGGAACACAUUCGGAAACGGAAGGCAGAAGAGGGUCAGUCAGGAGGGGCUUCGGGGAAGAAGCCCAAGGGAUCAGAUGCGGGGCCGAAAGGCCAACAGGGACGGGGACGCUGCAGGAAAUGCGGCAAGGCGCACGAGGGGGCGUGCAGGUUGGGAUCAUCAGGCUGCUACAAGUGCGGCAAGUCUGGGCACUUUAGCAGGGAUUGCACUGCUCCGGCAGCAGUUAUUCAGACGUCUGAGUUGCUGUGUUUCCACUGCAACCAGAGGGGCCACAAGAAGGCCAAUUGCCCCCAGUUGACAGUUUCAGCGCCGGUGAAGGCGCCAGCUCCAGCGACCCUGCGGAUCACAGAUGGCCGGCAGGGCAAGGCAGAGGCUCCAGUGGUGAGGAGCCGGGCAUUUCAGCUGACUACCGAGGAGGCACGCGCCGCACCCGAUGUGGUGACGGGUAUGAUUCUUUCCCUCUAUUUUAUUUUUAUGAUGUUAUGAUAUUGAUAUGUGCUCCGUGUGUAUAUGUAUGCAUUAGGAUCGUUCCAUGUGAACGGCAUCCUAGUUCAGGUGUUGUUCGACUCGGGUGCGUCCCGAUCAUUUGUUUCCCUUGCGCUUAGCAAGAAGUUUCAGGAGUCUUCGGGCGAGUUAGAUUGCCCUUUAGAGGUAGAGAUUGCUGAUGAUCGAUCGGUGCGGGCAUCGAUGGUAUUUCGAGAUUGUGUACUGCGUUUGUUUGAGGAACGUUACUUGGUAGACUUGGUUCCCAUUCCGCUGCGUGGGAACAAGGUGAUUAUAGGCAUGGAUUGGUUGAGCCCUACUGGGGCAGUGAUAGAUUGCGCGCAGAAGCUAGUGCGAGUCAGGACCCCAGGUGGGGGAGAGUUAGUGAUUCAUGGCGAGAGGCCACAUGGCGGACCCACUGUAUGUUCAGCAGCGAGGGCUAGGCGCUAUUUUCAGCAGGGAUGCGCAAGAUAUGUCGCGUAUGUGACGGAUACCCGGGAGGCGGGUAAGACGACAGUGAGCGAGGUUCCGGUGGUUCAAGAUUUUGCAGAUGUUUUCCCGGAGGAGCUUCAUGUGAUACCUCCGGAGCGACAGGUGGAGUUCAGGAUUGACCUCGUUCCUGGUGCGGCUUCGAUAGCCAAGGCACCGUAUCGGUUGGCUCCUCCCGAGAUGCAGGAGUUGUCUACGCAGCUGCAGGAGCUGCUGGACAAGGGAUUUAUUCGGCCGAGCAGUUCGCCCUGGGGAGCCCCGAUUCUGUUUGUGAAGAAGAAGGAUGGGUCGCAUCGGAUGUGUAUAGAUUAUCGGGAGCUGAACAAGGUAACGGUGAAGAACCGUUACCCGCUUCCGAGGAUUGAUGACCUCUUUGACCAGCUUCAGGGCGCAUCUUGGUUCUCCAAGAUUGAUUUGCGUUCGGGUUAUCAUCAGAUGAGGGUCAGGGAGGAGGAUAUGCAGAAGACCGCGUUUCGGACGCGCUAUGGCCAUUACGAGUUUGUGGUGAUGCCGUUUGGGCUCACCAAUGCUCCUGCCGCGUUCAUGGACCUCAUGAACCGUGUAUGCAGACCGAUGCUGGACCGGUCUGUGAUAGUCUUUAUCGAUGAUAUCUUGGUUUAUUCCAAGACCCGGGAGGAACAUGAGGAGCAUUUGAGAGAGGUGUUAGAGACCCUGAGGAGGGAGAGCUUGUAUGCCAAGUUCUCCAAGUGUGAGUUUUGGUUGCGCGAGGUGCAAUUUCUGGGGCACCUCGUCAACCAGAACGGGAUUCUGGUCGAUCCGGCCAAGGUCGAGGCCGUGAUGAGAUGGGAGGUUCCGAAGUCCCCAUCUGAGAUUCGGAGCUUCCUAGGAUUGGCAGGCUACUAUCGGAGAUUUAUCCAGGAUUUCUCCAAGAUAGCCGUGCCCCUGACGCGGCUGACGAAGAAAGCCGUGGUCUUUCGGUGGGGACCCGAGCAGCAGGCUGCAUUUGAGACGCUGAGACAGAGAUUGUGUGAGGCGCCGAUCUUAGCCCUGCCAGAGGGCGUAGAGGAUUUUGUGGUUUAUUGCGAUGCGUCCAUUUCUGGGUUGGGCGCGGUGCUGAUGCAAAGGGGGCAUGUCAUUGCUUACGCUUCGAGGCAGCUCAAGCCUCACGAGGCGAACUACCCGACGCACGAUUUGGAGUUGGGGGCGGUGGUAUUUGCCCUCAAGAUUUGGCGACAUUACCUCUAUGGGGUUCGGUGUACCAUCUACACGGACCACAAGAGCUUGAGGUACCUCAUGGAUCAGCCGAAUCUGAACAUGAGGCAGCGUCGGUGGUUGGACGUGGUGAAAGAUUAUGAUUGCGAGAUCCUCUACCACCCGGGGAAGGCCAAUGUGGUGGCCAAUGUGCUUAGCCGCAAGGCGGCGCCGAUCAGGUACGUAUGCAUGAGGAUAACCGUGGUGACUCCCCUGUUGGAGCAAAUUCGGUAGGCUCAACAGGAGGCUAUCAAGGAGGAGCAUCGAAAGAGCGAGUGUGUGGUGGGUCAGGUUUCCUCCUUCGAUUAUGAUAGUCGAGGACUAUUGACACUACACCGAAGGGUGUGGGUGCCGUAUCACGGAGGCGUGCGCCAGAUUUUGAUGGAGGAGGAGCACAAGUCCUGAUUCUCUAUUCAUCCCGGGGCGACGGAGAUGUAUAGGGAUCUUCGUCUAGAUUAUUGGUGGCCCUGCAGGAAGGUCAAGGCCGAACAUCAGAGACCGCAUGGCAAGAUGCAUCCGUUGGAUAUUCCACUGUGGAAAUGGGAAGAUAUCACGAUGGAUUUUAUCACGAAGCUUCCCAGGACCGCGCGUGGAGUGGAUUCGAUUUGGGUCAUCGUGGAUAGAUUGACCAAGAGUGCUCACUUUAUUCCGAUUCCGGAGAGCAUAUCGGCCGAGAAAUUGGCCGACAUCUACAUCAGGGAGAUUGUGGCACGGCAUGGGGUGCCAGUAUCGGUGAUCUCGGACAGGGAUGUGCGUUUUACUUCCAGAUUUUGGAAGAGAUUCCAUGACGAGUUGGGCACUCGUUUGCAUUUUAGUACCGAUUUUCACCCGCAGAUGGAUGGCCAGAGCGAGCGGACCAUCCAGACUUUGGAGGAUAUGUUGCGGGCAUGUGUGUUGGAUUUCGAUGGUAGCUGGGAUACCUAUCUUCCCUUGGCCGAGGUCUCUUACAACAACAGCUACCACGCGAGUAUCGACCGCCCUCCAUUCGAGAUGUUGUAUGGACGGAGGUGCAGGACCCCGAUAUGCUGGGGUGAAGUUGGCCAGAGAGUCAUGGGGAGCACCGAAGUGGUGCUCAAGACGACCGAGAGGAUCCAGCAGGUUCGGAGCAGGCUUCAGACUGCUCAGAGUCGACAGAAGAGUUACGCCGACAAGCGUCGAUCCGACUUGGAGUUCCAAGUCGGGGAUAUGGUUCUCCUGAAGGUGUCGCCUUGGAAAGGCGUCAUUCGAUUCAGGAAGCGGGGCAAGUUGGGCCCGAGAUUCAUCGGACCGUUCAGGGUUGUAGCCCGGGUGGGCAAGGUGGCGUAUAGACUGGAUCUGCCAGUCGAGCUCAGCCAGAUCCACAACACUUUCCAUGUUUCUCAGCUGCGGAAGUGCCUAGUGGACGAUUCAGCAGUAGUGCCUUUAGAGGAUAUUCAGGUUGAUGACAGCCUGAAUUACAUUGAGCGCCCAGUCGCAAUCCUCGACAGGAAGUCGAAGGAUUUGAGGAACAAGAGGGUGGAGCUAGUGAAGGUGCAAUGGCAGCACCGCAAGGGUUCGGAAUGGACUUGGGAGCCGGUGGACGAGAUGAUGGAGCAUUAUCCCGAGCUGUUUCAGGAUCGAGCAGCAGACUUCGAGGACGAAGUCUAAAAUAAGUGGGGGAGAUUUGUAGCACCUGGUUCCUGGUAUGUAUUCUUGGUUAUUAAAUCUCCUUAUAUUGCAUGAUUAACCUUGGACUCGGCGAGUUGAAGGACUAACUCGCCGAGUAGAAGCGGGACUAGACGCGGGAUCUACUCGGUCUACUCGGCGAGUAGGUCCGAGGGACUCGGCGAGUAGACCCUGUCUGGACUUAAACCCUAACCCGGGUGUUUGCACCCUAUUUAAACGAUCUAACCCAGCCUCCAUUUCCCCUAGCACUCCCAGAGAUCUGUAGAACGAAACCCUAGCCCCUUUUGUGUCCUUGUGGGUGAUUUUUAGCAUUUUGAAGGUGGUUUGGAGCUUGGGAGAAGAAGGAGAAGGUUGAAGAGUGCAAGAAGGGAAGAAGAUCCGGAAUCUACUCUGUGAAGGGCUUCUAUUCAGGUAGAAAAGUUCCUACCUUGAUCUUUAGUUCAUUGAGUCCCCUUUUUGUCCCUAAAAAGAGGUUUUAAGCCCUAAGAACCUAAAUAUCUAUGUGUCUAUGGUUAAUGUUCUGCAAGGACUUCAGAUUUGGACCGUUUGGUCAUCCUAGUAGCAUAAAGUCUCUAUGGUUGAGGUGAUUGAGGUCCCCAUUGAGUAUAGGACCUCUUAAAGAGCUUGGAAUUGCAUGUUUGAGCUCAUAGGGCCAUGCAUGCACGUAAAGUUUGCAACUUUACGUGGUAAAUGAGCCCUAGGACCUUGG
rnacentral:lncRNA from 1 species